rnacentral:rRNA from 1 species
AUUGAACGCUGGCGGCAUGCCUUACACAUGCAAGUCGAACGGCAGCACGGGGCAACCUGGUGGCGAGUGGCGAACGGGUGAGUAAUGCAUCGGAACGUGCCAUUGAGUGGGGGAUAACGUAGCGAAAGUUGCGCUAAUACCGCAUAUUCUGUGAGCAGGAAAGCAGGGGGACCGCAAGGCCUUGCGCUCUUUGAGCGGCCGAUGGUCAGAUUAGCUAGUUGGUCGAGGUAAAGGCUUACCAAGGCGACGAUCUGUAGCGGGUCUGAGAGGAUGAUCCGCCACACUGGAACUGAGACACGGUCCAGACUCCUACGGGAGGCAGCAGUGGGGAAUAUUGGACAAUGGGCGCAAGGCCUGAUCCAGCAAUGCCGCGUGUGUGAAGAAGGCCUGCGGGUUGUAAAGCACUUUUGUUCGGGAGAAAUCAUGCUGGUUAAUACCUGGUAUGGAUGACGUACCGAAAGAAUAAGCACCGGCU